AUGGAGACGGCAGCGGAUGCACAAUCCUCCAACCAUGGCGGAUCUCAGGGUCCUGCCGCUGAUGAUCUCGGGGAAUUGUUCGAGAAGUUGGACCUCCACGAGGAGGAGCUUGAUGAUGUCGUUAUUGAGGAAGAAGUUCCCGAUCUCUUGGAGGAAAUUCGUUGGCUUUCCCUAGCCAAGGUUCACACCACCAAGAACUUUAGCCAAGCCGCCUUCUUCCGAGAUAUGCGAGCGGCCUGGAAUACUACCCAACCGGUCCGCUUCAGACCAAUUGGUCAAAAAUUGUUCGUUGUCCAAGCCUCUUGCCUUGGUGAUUGGGCUUGUAUGAUGUUUCAGGGGCUAUGGUUGUUCCGCAACUUGGCGGUGCUACUGGCACCCUAUGAUGGGUUUAUGAACUCCGAUGAAGUGUUAAAGAUCCAUAUGACCAUCUGGCUACAAAUCCACAAACCGCCUGAUGGUUAUUGUAGAAAGGAUAUGGUGGAGAAGCUUCUGAAAAACGCCGGAGAAGUGCUGGAAGUUAGAAUCACCGGCAACUCCAGGAAUGAUUACAUCUAUGUGUGUGUCAAGCAUGAUGUGAGGAAACUUCUUACAAAAUUUGUAAGUGUGGUGAAAUCUAAAGUACGCAAGGUCUAUGCUGCGAGGUAUGAAAAAUUAGCAAGGUUCUGCAAGGUGUGUGGUGUCAUAGGACAUGAGCACAACGAGUAUGGCAAUGGGGUUUUUGCAGAGAAAGAUUUAAAGUUUGGUGACUAUCUAUAUGAUGAACCUCCAGUACGCGCUCGCCCUGAUUGGGAACCAAGCCGUGUUGAUACGAAGGUGAGCCCUGAUCUGAAGGGGGCAAAACCCUUGAGUAAGAAAGAUGAUCCCACUGUAGAUGGGGGUCUGAAUCAUACUGCAACAAGCCUUGUAAAGUUACCAAAUAUGGCUGAUAUGGAGCUGGAUAGAUCAUCCCGUAGACAUCUAAAUCUGGAUGAUAUUUCAGAGGUCAAAACAGGAGCAGCAAAUGCAGUCAAUGGGGGUAAUCUACUGCUGUUAACUGACAGCAAAGCGGAUAAAAUAGCUGAUGAUGCUUCUCCGUGUUCUAGCACGGGCAGCAAGCAUGCAAAGCAUGAUAGCGAGGAUUCAGGUUCUACUAAUCUUUAG
rnacentral:rRNA from 1 species